CGCAAGCCUGACGGAGCAAGACCGCGUGCGGGAUGACGGCCUAAUGGUUGUAAACCGCUUUUCUCUGGGAAGAUGAUGACGGUACCAGAGGAAUCAGCCUCGGCUAACUCCAUGCCAGCAGCCGCGGUAAUACGGAGGAGGCAAGCGUUAUCCGGAAUUAUUGGGCGUAAAGCGUCCGUAGGUGGUUAUUCAAGUCUGCUGUCAAAGCGUGGGGCUUAACUCCAUAGAGGCAGUGGAAACUGGAUGACUUGAGUGCGGUAGGGGUCGAGGGAAUUCCCAGUGUAGCGGUGAAAUGCGUAGAUAUUGGGAAGAACACCAGUGGCGAAAGCGCUCGACUGGGCCUGCACUGACACUGAGGGACGAAAGCUAGGGGAGCG
rnacentral:rRNA from 1 species